rnacentral:rRNA from 1 species
UACGAAGGGGGCUAGCGUUGUUCGGAAUUACUGGGCGUAAAGCGCGCGCAGGCGGUCCUUCAAGUCAGAGGUGAAAGCCCAGAGCUCAACUCUGGAAUGGCCUUUGAGACUAGAGGACUUGGGUACGGGAGAGGUGAGUGGAAUUCCGAGUGUAGAGGUGAAAUUCGUAGAUAUUCGCAAGAACACCAGUGGCGAAGGCGGCUCACUGGCCCGAUACUGACGCUGAGGUGCGAAAGCGUGGGGAGCAAACAGG